AAUCUCCCCUGGACUCUCUCCUGCAGCUCCAGGUGCUGCUGAUGUUGUUCCCCAGGGCUGGGGCAGCUCUGCAGGUGGGGCCUCACCUGAGAGGGGCAGAGGGACAGAAUCCCCUCCUCCCAUGGAUGCUGUUCUGCGUUCCCUGGCUCCACAGGGAGCUCCUUGCAGGGAGCUCAGGACGCUGCCUCUCCGCCCCUCAAACACAGGGACAGUGUUUGCCACAGCCACCAACCUGGCUGCCCCAGGAUCCCCCAGGCCAGGCUGGACACUCCGCUUGGAGCAGUGGGACAGUGCUGAGUGAUCCCCUGAGCUCCCUCCCAACCCAAACCAGUCUGUGGUUCUCUGAUUUCUCCCUUUGCAGGUUUCCAAGAACUUGGUGCUUCUCUGGGAAGCUGCUCCCGCUCCAGAUGUCCCGUGUCAGCUCUGCAGAGCUCCGGGAAGGAUUUCUCCUGGUGGCUGCUGUGUCAAAGCUUUCUCAGCUGUUGCACCCAAACCCCUCCAUCCUCCCACAGCCCUGCCAGCGCUCCUUCCCAGCCUGGCUGUGGGCUGGGCCCUUGGUGGUCCCUCACGGAGAUUCUGGCGGCGUGCCCUGCGAAGUUUUGCUCGUGUCAGUGUUUCCCUCCAGCCCCUGGGCACCAGGAGCCCUUUCCCACAGCGCUGUUUGCUGAAGCACAAUGUGCAGGGUGAUGCCAGGCUCCCUGCAGAAUCACUGAGUCGGCCGUUUGGGAAAUGAGAAAUCCCAGAAUCCUGGGAUGGUUUGGGUUGGAAGGGACCUCAGGGAACAUUUCGUUCCACCCCCUGCCAUGGCAGGGACACCUCCCACCAUCCCAGGUUGCUCCAAGUCUGGAACACUUCAGGGACAUAGGAAAACCUUUCUGUGGCAGAAUAAAGGGGGUGAAUUCUGUACCCCCCGGCUGUGUUGGCUCCGGGAGAAAACUUCCCAGGGAUUUUUUCUGCAAGUGCCCCCAGCCCAGCUCUGCCCCCAUCCUGCUGCUGCAGCCUGACGAGACCCGACACGAACUUAACGAAGCCCACGGCGUGGGGAGAAAGGCAAAAAACCCCUUUUUGCAUCAGGUGGAGGGGCGGCAGAUGGCCGGACCGCAGCUGAACAGGGUUUCCCGGCUGGGCGCAGUUUUCCCGUGCGUCCCUUUUCCCGGAGGAGCAGCAGGAACGCCUUGGAACGCCUUGGGAUGCCUUGGGACACCUUGGGACACCUUGGGACGCCGGUCCCGAGCUGGGGAAGUGCCGUGGCUGCCGGCUCGGGAUGGAGCCGCAGUUGUCCCUCCGUCAGCUCCCAGCUGGCAGCUGCUGCUAAACCUCCCUUUCAUCGCCGGCCAAAAGAGGCCGGGGUGUUUUGCUCCCCCCCCACCCCCGCCCUUUAAUCCUGACUUUCAUCAUUCUCCAGGCUGGGCCUGCCCUCCCCUCCGUGGGAUGGGCAGGGUCGGGGGGCAGGAGCUGUGUCUGGGCUCGGCCCUUCCCCCCAGACCCUCACCCCAAACCUUCUCUGGGCUGCCCGUGGUCGGAGGCAGCAGGAGAGCAAUGGGUUAACCCGCAGGGAUGUGGGGAUGCCCACGAUGGGAGCUGCUGCUGGGCUGGGGAGGAUGUCUGGGCCGGCUGCAGAGGUGCUUCCUGCACGUAAGAGAAUCGGCUUGUUUAAUUUCAGGAUUUUGGGAACGAGACCAAACAUCAAACAGCGUCAGUGCGAGGUGACAAAGCCCCAUCCCUGCCGGGGCGGGGGCUGCCCCGGGGUGGUCCCAGCAGAGCCAGGGGCUUCUGCUCCCUUUCCCCUUGGCUGUCCCUCGUUUGGGUGACCCUCUUCUGCUCCCCUGUUACCCUGCCUUGCCCUGUCCCACGCGGGACCCCGCUGGC
rnacentral:lncRNA from 1 species